rnacentral:lncRNA from 1 species
AUGUCAACAGACAGCAACAUGAGUCCUGCAAUAACACAUAAAAGGCCCCGGAGGCAUAAACACAGCCAUUCUGGUCAGCAGGAUUGCAAACCCACAGAUGUCUUCAGUGACGACACUUGCAUGCCUCUCACUUUCGCCAACCAGAUGUGCCACGGGGACAACAAGGUGAGGGGGGCCACGCUCCCUCGGAUGGGCUCUGGGGAGUCCCGGGGUAGACGAGGAAGCACUGGGACUCACAGGGUCAGGGAAGGUACAUUUGAGCAGAGCAAAGGCCAGGACAAGCACAAGAUUUCAUCAGCAGUGAAAGGAAACAACAAAAACCGACAGCACUCAGGUAGGAGAUACAAUUUUCCUCAGAUUUUUUAUUUUGAGGUUUUUAUGAUAGACGAAAUAUUAAACUAGACACUGGGCAUGUGACCACAAUAUACAGUAUAUACGUAUAUAGCCCAUGGUGUUGACACUGUUAUUCACACUGGACAAGCAGGGAGGGGCUUCUUCUGGUUUGAUUCAAUUAAAUUCAAUUUUAUUUUUAAUAGCCUAACAACAACAUACUUGUGUCAAAGGGCUUCAUACUGGUAAUUGUAUAAGAACAUGAAAUCAGUCAUAAAAUACAAUACGUAAUCGCUAAACUAAACUGACUAAGCCAAAUUGGGCAUCCCUGCCCUUAGACCAGGGGUGUCAAAAUUUGGCUGGUUUUCCAGAAAUCCUGCCUUAUCUGCUGCCGAUUACCUGUAUCAGGUGUGGUUAGCCAAUAAGGAGCUUCAAUGGUAGGCUGGUUUUCCAACCACUGUUGAGACCUUUGACCCUCGAGGCCUGGAUUCUGACACCCCUGCCUUAGACCCUUCUUCUACUGCCUACUAGCGCAUGUUUGCCACCUACAGUUGGGAGAAGCUUGUUGCAAAAUGUCAAAGCAGUGCAAAUUUCGUGUAUAUUGCUCCAGGCUUUUUCUUUCACAGUUCCAUUAAGAAAUAUGAAAAACUUGGUAUCACAUAAUUCCAGCUGAGCAUAAACCGCAAUUAUUAAUUUCUCCUUCGUGAUCAAUUUUCAAACGGUGGCACUUUCGUAAAUCAAAAGGGAUGCCAUCUAUACAUCACUAUCACAUCAAAGUGCUUUAGUGGUCAAAGUUCUUCCUGGUUUAAGUUUAACACAUGUUCAAUGGCCAUGCAUUUUGUACGUAGAUAUGGAGUCAAAUCGGGGUCAUAAAGAUAUGAAACCCAAAUAAACAACUUGAAGAAAAAAAAAGGCGGAAGUAUUGGAGUUAAGCUUAAGUUACACUUAAUUGUUUUCAGCUUCAUUCUUAUUGGUCCUUUAUCUAAGCCCCGCCCCUGCGUUCCAGAAAGUGGCAGUCUCAAACCUGAAAUUUUCCGAAUUGAAACGGAUAAAAAAGUAAAAAAAUAAAAAAAGACAUUAUGAAACUGAAAUUUUGAGGUAUGAAACUUGCUAAAAGUUUAAAGAGUUUUUAGCUGAACCCCAAUAUUUCAGCUUGAAUUUUUCAAGUUUGACUCCAUACGUAGAGCCCAAAAUCUGUAGUAGAACCUUGCAUUGCUAUGUAUGGGUGUGUGUUUAUGACUAAACGCCACAGACACGUGGAUCACUGAAUGCUUGGAGCUUUACAACACCAACCAAUAAUCACUCAAUAUCAAAUCCGAGACUCUGGUUAGUUUAACAAGGUUUAACUUGCAACACCUGUUUAAUGGCCGCAUGUUUUGUAUGUAGAGCCCAAAAUUGGUCAUGGGAACGUGUGUAGCUAUGUGUGAACACAAUAUAUUUGAACAGGGGAGCCUGAAAUGUGCCUUGAGAUAGACUUUUCUUGUUGUCGAGGGCUGUGUCAACGUGGCAUUACUUUACGUUUAUGUCUAUUGUGUCUUUUUAGAAUUUGCCGACGUUCCUCUGUAUAGUCGUCCUUCUUUUCCACCAGGUCAUAGAGAGCUGGGCUCUAAUGCGUUGAGCUUUCAGUCAUGUGGGAACUCAAGGACCAAACCUGCAGAGCUGAAGACCCCUACAGUACAGGUGGAAGAGGUAAAUGGGACUUCAGCGUAAAAAUCAAGGCAGAUUGUCUUAUCCCUUUGACUAAAAACUAAUUAAUGGUUUUUAUUCCUAUAUUUUCACAGUUCCUGAAAAGCCAAGAAGCACUGUGAGUUGGUGAGAAACGUCCCAUUAAUGCUACAAGCGACUGAGACUUUUGCAAAAAAAAAACAAAAAAAAAAAGGACAAGAAAUUCUGCACAAAACCAUUUUCUACUUGGGAUUUCCCUCUGUGUUGGAAAAAAUAUGGAAAAAAAUCUUUAAGUCUCUGGACUUCUUUGUUGUGUGCUUUCUUUGUAUUUUUUUCCCUCAAGGACUCUGACCUGCUGGUGGUUGAACGGAGUACAGAUAAUGCAAAUUAGUUGUGGAUGUUUCACUAAAAUAUUGCUUCUGAAAACUGCUUGAUGCAGUUAAUUUGUCUUUUGUUUGUUGUCUUAUUAUAUUACUGUAAAACAGUCAUUUCCAGACAUGUUGUAAAUUGUUUACUGCCACAGAAGUGCUUCAAAUUUUAUAAAAGUGUUGAUGUUUUCUACGUGGUGUACAUCUAGUCUUUGUAUUAUUUGUUCUACUUGGUUAAAAAAAGCACAAUCAGUUACUUUUGUUGUACGGAUACGUUUUUGCUCGGGAGAAAAUCGGUUGUUUAUGAAGCUUUUAAUGCAUAAGACAAAGAUUGUUCAGUGAGUUUGUGCAUUCAGUUGCAUAUAUUUGAGCUGCUUUCAUACUUGUUUAAACCCUCUGUUAUGUGUAUCUUGACAACUGCAUGCAAUUUCAAAAGAAAGGUUCUUUUUCUAUCAUCUUCGGUGCUUUGCCUUCCGUUUAGAAUUAUAAAAAAGAAAACAAAUAAGGAAAAUGGUCUGAUUGCUUUUCUGUGUCAGCUUUUCUGCAACACUUGAAUUCAGCUAAAUAAAUGAUGGAGGAGUGCUGGAAAAUAUUUUGGAGACAACAAUUGUGAUUUAAUGAAUCAAAAGAAUCCAACAUGGUCAUUUCAUAAGACUUGCAAACUGUAUCUGCAAAAUUAAAAAUCAACCAGUACUUCAAGCAAAAAUGAAAUAAAAUAUCAUCUCUGAGGCUAAAGUCCUGCUUUUUAUCAUAACUGAUUGACUUCAGAAUAAAUAUUUAAAGACUAAACCUAAGAAAAUUCUGUCUUGUUUCUCUAUCUGUCUGUACACUACCAUAAUAUUUGAAAAAAAAAAAAAACAAAUGGGUUUAGUCAUAAUUCUUCUGUACUCUACACCUUGCAGCCUUGAAAAAUAUCCAUACUAACAAAAAGGAACUGGUAGUUUCCUCUAAAUGUAUAAAGUUUUGCUCUUUUAGAAAUCUCCAAUAUGUUAAAUUAGGUGUUUGUAUGUUAUCUAAUAGGAAUACCACAAAAGUAUCAAACUUCUUUACUAUAACAAAAACAAAUUCAUCACAGCAGCAGAAACACUGAAUGGGGCUAAAAUGGGCUCGAAAACUAAAACAGGAGUCGGGAAUAUCCAAAUGUUUUUGUUCACCUUUCAGCAUAUCCCUUCAUGGGUCACCACAGUGAAUCAGCUUUGAACAGGUGAUUUGGUAGAGAAUUUAACACCUGAUGCCCUUCCUGACACAAACCUGUAUUUUAUCCGGCCUUGUGGGCCUCUUUAUAGUAAGGCAGUAGCAUGAAGGCCCCUUGCCCAAGGACCCACACUGGAGGAAGCUCAUCAUGCCCCUGGGAAGUGAACCCUAGUUUCCCAUGCGCCAGUCCUACAUGCAUCCAACUUAGGGCUGCACGAUAUGAGGAAAACUCGCGAUAUGCGAAAUUAGAGAUUAAAAUUGCGAUAAAGAUAUAAUUUGCAGUAUAUAAACAAUUAGCAAAAUAACCAAAUAACCAUUCCCAUUACAUUGCAACAGUUUAAAAAUUAUACUCCAAAUGUCACUCGUCGACAUAGGUGACAAACAUCUGACAUAAUAGGCGUCCAUCCGAUUGGUCAAAUGCAUAAAGGGAUUUAUUUGAUUCGUUAAAUGGUUCAAGCUGACAUAAGAUUGUUUUAGCAUAUUUAAGGUUUACGAUUUAUUGUGAUAUUUGCAGUCUUAUGCGAUAUGCAUAUUGCAGAGCUGGAUUUUGCGAUAACGAUAAAUUUGCGGUAUAUUGUGCAGGCCUAAUCCAAUUGAUGUUCAGCUGCUCGUUGAUAUCCAAAAGAACUUGUGAAACUAUUAUGGGAUGGCCACAGGACCUACAGCUUGGUAGCCAUUGGUCAAAGUGAGAAAUUUGACGAUUUUCACACAAUAUUGGAAAAGAAAAUAAGUAAUCUACACAGCCUUUUAUACACAUGCCACAAUGUUAAGUCUGCAACCCCAACAACGUUGCGAUGACUUUUGACCUAAAAAAAAGGCUGAUCUGUGUUUUUUAAAAACAUUACCUUUAGGACCAGCUGCAAAUUUAAACUCUUCCUGGGAAUUUUGAUCUAUAACCUUCUAACUUCUCCAGCAUCAUUAGGAAGCUUUUUGUGAAAGAAAAAACAAAAAAAAAAGGAUUUAUAAGUUGUAAAUCCUGAAUGGCCUUAGUGUGGCUAGCUCGCAAAAGUGGUGUUCCCUUGUUGCUCACACAAAUUUACCCAAAAUAUUGUUAAAAGUUAAUACAUGAAUCCAUGGCUCAAGCUGAACGAAAUGAUAUAGCAUACGAUAUUUUUUGAUUUGAUUUGAAAUGGUUUAUUUCAAGCAAUCAAAUAGGAGUAAUACACAAAAGCAAUAUAAUCAUCAGUUAUACAUUCAUACAGUAACUAAUCAAACUUAGGAUAAUUAGACAUAAUUAAUAAAAAUUGCUUGAAAGGGAGUGGAAAGAAGCGAACUUAUAUAAUCCCACCCCGUUAUACUAUAACCAUUUUAUUUCAUGAUUUAUCAAUAUCCGGUUCCUAGGUUUUAUCAGACAGAAUUAAGAAUCAUAAGGUAUCAAUAAAGCAAAAGCCAAAGAUGAAUUACUUAAGUACUACGUCAAAA